UGAGGGAAUAUUGGUCAAUGGGCGAGAGCCUGAACCAGCCAAGUAGCGUGCAGGACGACGGCCCUAUGGGUUGUAAACUGCUUUUGCGCGGGGAUAAAGUGCGCCACGUGUGGCUCAUUGCAGGUACCGCGCGAAUAAGGACCGGCUAAUUCCGUGCCAGCAGCCGCGGUAAUACGGAAGGUCCGGGCGUUAUCCGGAUUCAUUGGGUUUAAAGGGAGCGCAGGCCGCCCCUUAAGCGUGUUGUGAAAUGCCGCGGCUCAACCGUGGCACUGCAGCGCGAACUGGGCGGCUUGAGUUACCUGUAGGCAGGCGGAAUUCGUGGUGUAGCGGUGAAAUGCUUAGAUAUCACGAAGAACCCCGAUUGCGAAGGCAGCUUGCCGUAGGUUGACUGACGCUGAUGCUCGAAGGCGCGGGUAUCGAACAGGAUUAGAUACCCUGGUAGU
rnacentral:rRNA from 1 species